rfam:Salmo salar isolate Sally breed double haploid chromosome ssa23, whole genome shotgun sequence.
AGGAUCGAGGAUUGUAAGUCGCUCUGGAUAAGAGCGUCUGCUAAAUGACUUAAA